rnacentral:lncRNA from 1 species
CUCAUCAACUCCUCUUUACAGGCAUCUUUAUCCGGAAUUCAACUCGUCCCAAACUCCACGAGUUGGUGUUGCUCUGCUUGUGUUUUUGAAUCCAGGGGCCUCUUUGAAUCAGAAGCCCUUUGUAUAGAGAUAAGUAUCCUUUAGGCCAGAAUCAGCUUCCAUUGUUUUCGCAGUCCCAUUUCCUACCCGUAAUUCUGAUUUUAAAGCCAUUUGGUAGAGAAGGGGCAGGGAACAGAACUUUCGCCCCCCCGCCUGAGCGCCUGGUAGACUAGAUAUCUUCCAAACAUUAUCUCAUUUACUUCCCUGGAGUUACAAAUAGGUAGAUUUCAUGUCCGUUGAGGGAUGAGAAAGCUGAAACUUUGAGACUUAAGAAUCCUGGCCGAGGUCAGCCUCCUCCGAAGCUUCAUCUCUUGCCACCACUUUCUGGUGCACACCUACGACAGAUUUCAAUCCCUGAGAUCCCAGGAUGAAACCUAUGUUUGCCAAAUACCAGCUACUGUGCCAGAAGAGAUCAUGGAACCAGGUGUGGCAACCUGCUUGAGAAGAGGAGCCAAAACAUCAUAGUUGAACCGUCCUGGAAUAGAACUGAACCUCAAAAAGUUAGCCUGGUGAGGCUGGAGGAUGAUGAGAUUUCCCCUCUUGUCACAUAAACAAGGAAGUAAAGGAGGCCCCUUGUGCUCUCAGAACUCCAAGCAUGAAACAAUUUUCUGCCAUUUCAGUUCCUGUUAUCAUGCUUCCAGGUGCACUGAACUGCAGCAAACCCAGGGGAUCCAAGGCUAUGUUGAAAAGCCUUUGACCGCAGUGCAGGGAGCAGAAGACAUUAAUGACGUGAUGUUGACGCAGCCCGCACUCAGGAUCCUCCAGAAAAAGAACACAGAGAUAACCCCAGAUCGAUGGUACUUUUUGAAAAUGCCUUACUGCAAAAGAGUGGCUAGGGUUUUACAAGGGCUGUGAAGAAACAUAUUAAGGUUAAUAAAGCUUUUU